rnacentral:tRNA from 1 species
GGUUUGUGGCUCAGUGGUAGAGUGUUUGCUUAGCAUGCGUGAAGCACUGGGUUUGAUUCUCAGCACCA